rnacentral:tRNA from 1 species
GCCCGGAUAGCAUAGCUCAGUCGGUAGAGCAGGGGAUUGAAAAUCCCCGUGUCGGUGGUUCGAUUCCGCCUCCGGGCACCA